CGCGGAGCCGCAUCCCGAGGACCCGGACGAGCCGCCCGGCCGGCCGGCGGUGGCCGCCAACGCGUCGCUGUCGGGCGCCGAUGACUGCGUCGAGCUGAGGCAGACCGAGAAGAAGGGCCGUCAUAUUGUGACGUCACGGAUGGUUCCGAAGGGGUCCGUGCUGUUUGUGGAGGAGCCGUACAUCUGUGUGUUAUUGCCCACACGCCGUCUCGACCAUUGCCACCACUGCAUCAAGCAAACGCAUGCCCUUGUACCGUGUUCCCGCUGUCGGGACGUGGGCUUCUGCAGCGCCGCCUGCCGGAGCGCCGCUGACGCCAUCUACCACGCGGCCGAGUGCGGACACGCCAGCUUC